rnacentral:rRNA from 1 species
UACGUAGGGGGCAAGCGUUGUCCGGAUUCAUUGGGCGUAAAGAGCGUGUAGGCGGCCAGGUAGGUCGGUUGUGAAAACUGGAGGCUCAACCUUCAGAGGUCGACCGAAACCAUCUGGCUAGAGUCCGGGAGAGGAGAGUGGAAUUCCUGGUGUAGCGGUGAAAUGCGCAGAUAUCAGGAAGAACACCCGUGGCGAAAGCGGCUCUCUGGAACGGUACUGACACUGAAACACGAAAGCGUGGGUAGCGAACGGG